rnacentral:rRNA from 1 species
GAACUGCGCAAACGUUAUUCGGGAAUCACUGGGGCUUAAAGAGUCCGUAGGCGGCUCGGCAGGUGAGGUGUGAAAUCCCACGGGCUCAACCGUGGGAAUUGCGCUUCAAACCGCCGGGCUAGAGGGAGAUAGAGGAGAGCGGAACUGAUGGUGGAGCGGUGAAAUGCGUUGAUAUCAUCAGGAACACCGGUGGCGAAAGCGGCUCUCUGGGUCUCUUCUGACGCUGAGGGACGAAAGCUAGGGGAGCGAACGGGAUUAGAUACCCCGGUAGUCCUAGCUGUAAACGAUGAGCACUAGAUCGAGGGGACUCCCACAUCCUCUUGGUCGGAGCGAAAGUGUUAAGUGCUCCGCCUGGGGAGUAUGGUCGCAAAGGCUG